rnacentral:miRNA from 1 species
UGAGGUAGUGACUCAUUUUGUU